rnacentral:rRNA from 1 species
GAUGAACGCUGGCGGCAGGCCUAACACAUGCAAGUCGAGCGCUACCUUCGGGUGAGCGGCGGACGGGUUAGUAACGCGUGGGAACAUACCCUUUUCUACGGAAUAGCCUCGGGAAACUGAGAGUAAUACCGUAUAAGCCCUUCGGGGGAAAGAUUUAUCGGGAAAGGAUUGGCCCGCGUUAGAUUAGGUAGUUGGUGGGGUAAUGGCCUACCAAGCCUACGAUCUAUAGCUGGUUUGAGAGGAUGAUCAGCCACACUGGGACUGAGACACGGCCCAG